UGGUGGAGUGAUUUGUCUGGUUAAUUCCGUUAACGAACGAGACCGCAACCUGCUAAAUAGUGGCGUUCAGCGUCUUUAUGAGUGAAACCGGGGAUGUGGUUCCGCCCUCGAAAGGGGAGGGAUCCUCGCCGGCCGAUCUCUGAUGACUGGAUCGCCGCUUCUUAGAGGGACUAUUGGGGUUACCCACUGGAAGUGCGGCAAUAACA
rnacentral:rRNA from 1 species